rnacentral:tRNA from 1 species
GGGCCUAUAGCUUAACCUGGAUCGAGCAAUGGCCUUCGGAGCCGGAGAUGGGGGUUCAAAUCCCUCUAGGCCCU